ACCCACAGUAAAACCAUCCGCGGUCCCUAGGGAAACGCCACGACCGUCACAAUGAGAGGGCGUUUCGUACGCACAGGUGUGAGGGGGCGCGUCCCCUUCCAGCUCCGGGCCCUGCUGAGCCGUGGAGAUGGGGCUCCGGUCCCCCUCCCAAAGGUCACUGGCAGUCCCCUGAGGCGUGGGGGGCGCAGUCUGUGAGCGCGGCCCUCCCGCUGUUAGAUUAGCGACGGCGGCGGGUAUGGGAACCGAGCGCGCCCAGUGCGUAGCAGGAGCCCGUGACAUCUCCCCGCCGCGCCGGGCCAGUGGCGUCGUGGGCACCGAGCCCCGCCAGGCAACGUCCCACGGUCUGGCCCCCACGGCCGUCCCCACUCCGCCCGGCACGCAGGUGGGCACAGCCCCCUCUCGGGCCUCAGCUUCUGUGGGUCAAGCGGGGCCCGCACGCAACGGGCCCCUUCCACGGUCAGUCCACCGGAUCCGGGUCAGUAUCCCAGCCAGGACCCGUGUCUGGCACCCAGGAGAUGCAGGUCACGGAGCCCUCUGAGGUCAGGUGCACAGCAGUGUAGAUACGCUGCACCAGGAAUAAAAACUUCCUCAAGCCACUGGACCGUUGCAGUAGGCAGCCAGACGGUCGCACUUCCCGGAGUCUUUACAACUGCUUGGUAUGGAAGGUGGAUUCAGCUCGGACUCUGCCACACGGGGGACAAUGGUGCCUCUCAGCCGCGCCGACCCAAGCAACGAGGAUCGCCGCGAGGCUUUCCUGAAGUGAAUCACUUGGCAAAAUGCUGGCGCUCAGGCGCUGGCGGUUUUCUUCCCUUUGUCGCUCAGCGGUGGCCGUUUAUCCCACGUGAAACUAUGUUCCGUAUUUGCGGAGAGUGGCAGUCUGCUGUGGCACAUGGGAGGCAUUAAAAAUACACCACGCUUCUUAAAUUCCACACCUGGCAUGCUAACUGGAAUUUAAGUAGAAACUUGGAAAAAAAUAAAAAAGAAAUUAUAUAUGAAUAUCAAAACACA